rfam:Salmo salar isolate Sally breed double haploid chromosome ssa13, whole genome shotgun sequence.
AAUGCACCAAUUUGUAAGUCGCUCUGGAUAAGAGCGUCUGCCAAAUGACGUAAA